rnacentral:lncRNA from 1 species
UGUGAUCUCCUGGAGGGUGGUCUCUGUAUCUCACUUCGGUUUGUAUUUCAGCAUUGAGCACAGGCCCCAGCCCAUCAGAGGGCUUCAAUAAACAACUGCCAAGUGAGCAGAUGAUGACGUGCUGCCAUGAUGCUCCUGCCAGUUGCAAGCACGCCUGUGCCUCCUGCUCUCAGAACCUGCUGCGUGGCCUCCAGGUCCUGGGGCCCGGGGAGUCCUGUCUUGGCAGCUCGCUAGCUGUGCUCUGGAGGAAGUCCUCACACUCACUGAGUCUCCAUCUCCACAGAGAGAAAACGAUCCACAGAGGGUGCCACGGAAGCGACUUGUAAACUCUCAGGUGUUCCCUCCCCCAAGGACACUGAAGCUCCAAGGGCCUUAAGUAAGCUUUCUUCCUUCCGGCUCCCUCACCUCUGGAUCUAACCUGAGAUAAACGUGAGUGUCUUAGAUCGUCAGUUAUCGGGCAUUGAAAAGAACCAAUCCUUCAUUCAUUCGUGGAACAUGCACGGUUGUGAAAGAGGUUGUUAAAAACAUGUAUUGUGGUAAAAUAUACAUAAAAAAUUUACAAUUUUAACAACUUUUAAGUGUACAAUUCAGUGGCACUAAGUACAUUCACAAUAUUGUAUGCAACCAUCACCACCCACCAACUCCAGAACUUUUUCAUCAAACCAAAGCGAAAGUGUUUUAUAAAUCAUUUAUGUAAAGGUGGCUCAAGUAGGAAUGCACUAUUUAAAGUCUUGAAGGAGCAACAAGUUCCCCCAUCUACCCGCCUAGUGUCUAUUACGUACCAGGCCCCAGUAAAUAAUAACAUGAAUGAGAUCAGAACGCUGCCAGGGAGAACCUUGUAGUGUGCGAUGCUGGGCGCCCGGUCCACCUUCAAAGCAGAGUGGGAAGAUAUAAAGGGUUCUUAGACAAAAGUCUCCAGCCUGAAGGAAGGCAAAUUCUCCUUAUUCUACUAUAAGAAUUCCCAGGGAAAUGGGAGACGCUCUUACCUGAGGGCCCAGUUACCAGGAAGUGUGGGGUUUUCUCUUUCUUUCCUAUUUUGUUCUGUUUUGGUCUCUUGCAUGGGAGACAGACAUCAUAACUCACAUCUGCCUAGAGCCAUCCUUUCCCCAGUGUUCCCAUUUGCCCUUCGCACUACCCUGUGAGGGCGAUAGGGCAGACAGCAUGACUUUACAGAUUCAGAAGCUAUGGCUCAGAGCAUCAAGCAGUCCCAGGUUUUGCCCAAGGCCACACAACUUGUGUGCAGGUUCUUAUUCUGAGCAGAUCUUUAGGGGUUAGAGAAAGCAUGUGGGAGAGGCAUAGCCUGGGUAAAGACGGCUAGUCCCACACCGGGAAGG